GUCUUCCGGUCCUCAGAUACUCAGAGUUGAAGGGUUUUCGUGUGCUCCAACACGGAAAGCUUCGCAAUCUCACAAUAAUCAGCGUCGUUAGGAUCAUUUAUUUAUUUUAUUAAUAGGGCUGUUUGCGAAAUAGCAUGUAUUCGUCCAGAGGGGGCAAUGCGUACGGACAACAGUCAUAUACUAGCCAAUCUGCAUAUGGCCAAAAUCUGGGACCUGCUUAUGCUGGAAAUUCUGCCGGAGGGCCUGAAGGGGGGUCGCAAGUUC